GACAGUGGGGGACUCUGUUCGGCCCCACCACCGUGGGAGGCGGACGGGGGUGGCUGGGGGCUCUGAGGGACCCCUGUCACCUUGUCUUCUGCUCCUUGCCUCCCCCAAGGGCACCGUCCCUGCUUCCUCCCCGUCUCUCUGUCGUCCGUCUCUUGACCUGGUCAGCACGGAGCCCUGUCAGGGGUGGUUUGCCCCUGAUGUCAGCCGCUGUGCAAGCCCGGGGCCCUCCCCGCAUCCGCCCUCCCAGCUCAGCCUUGCUGGGUGGUGGUCUGGGCACCUCCCAAGAGAGCAGGUCUCUGACGACCUGGAGUGUCCCUUCCCCAGCUGGGGGCCGCGGGCACACGUGCCAGGGAGGAUGCCAGUCGUAAAGCACUUCUCUCUGUGAAGCCCACCAAGCCGGGGUUGCAGGAGGCCCCUCGGCCGGCCCGGCCUCUCCAGCAGCGGCAGCUUGGGUGCUUUGACCUUCCCGGUCCCCAGCCCCCCUGUUCUGGCCACCUCCGCAGCAGCUGCUUCCUCACGAUGGCCCUGGAGCAGUGCUGUCCUGGAGAACUUUCUGCAACUGUAAGGAUACCUUAGCUGCGACCCUGAGCUGUGGCCUGUGGCCCCUGCAUUGGGCCCGGCAGCCCAGAGGCCACAGUUUCCAACUGAAAACCCGUCAGCCCGAAUCGAGGGGGGAGGUGCGGGGGGGGCCAGGCAGGUCACCCCACUGCUGGGCAUCCAGCAGUCCAGGGGCUACACCACACUAUAGCCAGUGUGCCGGGGGUGUGUCUGUGUGACCCUGGAGCAGAAAAGGGGUGGUAGGGGUGUUUCCAGCCCAGAUGCCAGGGGAGCCCCUGGGAGCUGGGGUAGGGAGCCUGCGGGGACUGUCAGCUGCCAGCACUUCGCUGCACUGAUGCCAUCAGUGGUCACUGCCUCCCAGAGGUGAGAGAGCUGGACAGACACAAACCAGGCUUGUGAUGACAGCCAGAACGCGUCCACUAGAGACGUCCCAGAGAUGAAUCUAUGAGCACUUCAUCCAGACUAUAAGACAGAAACUGUUCUCUCAUUUUUCUCAACCGAGGGCUUCUGAGCGCCCUCUCUCUGCAGAGCGACUCUCUUUGCAGGUAAAGUGAACUGAUGGUUUUUCAGGUAGCCUCCUGAGCCUCCCGGCAAGGCAUUAAUGGCCCGGCACCCUGGUCUCUGCAUCAGGUGUCUCUGGGGAGGAAGCCAGAGCGCAGCAGGCCGCAGGGGGCUCACCUGUGUGUUGGCCUCACCCAGCGGGGUCCCUGGGCUGAGCCUGCAGGUCUCAAGACGUGAAUGCACCUCAAGUGAGGCCCAUGCUCACAUCCCCCACCUCGUAAGCAUCACAGCUGUCACUGCAGCGGGGCGAGUGACCUCCAGGAGCCCGGUCUGGUGCUCUGUGUCCUGUGCUUCCCUUCCUGCAGAAGGACAGUGUCCUCUGUCUCCGGGGACCCGCCCCGGCCCGCGCGUCCACUCGGUGCAGGUGGUGCUCUGGCCCGAAGCCCUCUCGUCCCGGACAUGUGUGGGCGCCGGCCCCACAUACGGCCUCCCACUCAGUUUUGUGUUUGCUCUCCUAGAAACUGCUGGCGGUGAGGGAGCUGUAUCCAAUUCUCUGCCACUGGGCUAAAACCUUCUGCCCACCCUCUCAGGGCCCCUGUGCGGCCCACGUUGGCUCCAGCAGGGCCCAGGCUCCUAGCUUCCAGGAAAGGUGCCAGUUAGCGGCCCUGGGAAGGGGCCGGUACCUCCAUCCCUGCUCUGCCAAGUGGACGCUGGGGACUAGGAGCCCCAGACAGUGUGCUUUCCCUGACGCCUCCCAGGACACGAAGAGGGCCGGCUCAGCCUGGGGCCAGAGCUCUCCGGACAGGACACUGCCAUUUGACCCCUGCCUGGGUGCACCAGGAUGCUAAGAUGCAGGCGCUCUGGACCCCAACUCUGGGGCAAAUGUGGGGAGCUUAUCCUGCACGAGGACUUCAAGUCUCCUGCAGCUGGCCACAAGGAUACCAAUUCAACGCCUGUAACAAACCACACGAAAGGAAGCUUACUUCAAAUGAAUGUUUUUUCCCCUCAGCUGUAUUGAUUUACAGAUGCUGCCCUGAAGGCAGAAUUUAUAGGAAAUUGUUUUCAAGCCUGUUUGUACAACUGGAAGGUCGUAUUUAUUUAAUGUACCUCAAGGUGUUUUCAUAAUGGUCAGUGUUUUAAUAAAAAUUAUUUCUGGCCCCUGUGUCUCCGAGGUUUCCUUGGAACCGAUGGAAGCUGAGAGCCGUGUGCACCGCCGGUGGCCGGGUCCUGAGGGUGGGCUCAGGCUGGGCGGCCAGCGAGCCUGGGCCUCCCGUGGACCGUGUAUUUCCUGGUGUCCUUCUGGAGACGGUCAGGCCCUGGGGGCAUGAGGGAGAGCGGGUAGGCGCCCAGACGCAGCAGGAGAUGCCGGGACCAAGACGGUGGCCAGAGUCAAAUCAGUGAUGGCAACGCUGCCGAGUCCUGUUACUUUGCAAGACAGACUAUUCAGUACCCACAGGCCUGGGCCAAAAAAAGAGACUUCCGGACAGAGUGACGUUGGUUCACACUGAGCUCCUCCGGUGGGCGGAACCAGACUACGGCACGCCGGGUCUACAAGCGCCAGUGCUGCCCGCGGGGGCAUCCGGCACGGCAGGCGCCGACCUUCCUGGUGUGGGUCUUGCUUCCGAGCGGGGAGCACAUGUGUGGCUGCGUGUCUGUAGAUGGGGACUGUGACUGGAGGGCCGGCACCAGGCUGCUCUCCUCGUCCCCAGAGGAGGCUGCCGCCCAGGGACGUCCCCAGCAAUCAAGGGACAGGCGAGCACAGGAGAGCAGGUGGUCACAGGCAUCCAAGAGCCCUCACGUCUGAAGAACGGCCUGUCAUCAGUAAAAAUCAAACGAGUGAUGUUGUCUAAAUAAAAGUGGAGGUUUGAGGGUG